rnacentral:rRNA from 1 species
UACGUAGGGUCCGAGCGUUGUCCGGAAUUACUGGGCGUAAAGAGCUCGUAGGUGGUUUGUCGCGUUGUUCGUGAAAUUCCCUGGCUUAACUGGGGGCGUGCGGGCGAUACGGGCAGACUGGAGUACUGCAGGGGAGACUGGAAUUCCUGGUGUAGCGGUGGAAUGCGCAGAUAUCAGGAGGAACACCGGUGGCGAAGGCGGGUCUCUGGACAGUUCCUGACGCUGAGGCACGAAGGCCAGGGGAGCAAACGGG